GUGGGGAAUAUUGCACAAUGGGGGAAACCCUGAUGCAGCAACGCCGCGUGAGUGAAGAAGUAUUUCGGUAUGUAAAGCUCUAUCAGCAGGGAAGAAGUCGACGGUACCUGACUAAGAAGCCCCGGCUAACUACGUGCCAGCAGCCGCGGUAAUACGUAGGGGGCGAGCGUUAUCCGGAUUUACUGGGUGUAAAGGGAGCGUAGACGGUCUGACAAGUCUGAAGUGAAAGCCUGCGGCUCAACCGCGGAACGGCUUUGGAAACUGUGAGGCUGGAGUGCUGGAGAGGUAAGCGGAAUUCCUAGUGUAGCGGUGAAAUGCGUAGAUAUUAGGAGGAACACCAGUGGCGAAGGCGGCUUACUGGACAGUAACUGACGUUGAGGCUCGAAAGCGUGGGGAGCAAACAGGA
rnacentral:rRNA from 1 species